AUACAAAUGUUCUGCUUCCUAGCUCUAUUUUUUAGGAAGUUAUGGUCUCUCAAAAAUGCUUAUAAAUUCAGGUAUCCGAAAAAUUGGGCAUAGCCCCAAAAUUCUAAAGGGCCAUAACUCAGAAACAACUCAAGGGAUUGAGCUAAAAUGUUUGAUUCUUUCAUGAGAUGGCUCACAGGGGAGAUUCCACCGUCCAGUAGUUCUUCUCUGGCCUUGUCUCUGAAGUCCAACCCCUCCCACCUCAGAGAACUCGCCCUGGGCGGUAAUGUGCUGAAUGACUCCAGUGUGGCUCACCUGUGUGCUGUCCUGCAGAGCCCACACUGUCAGCUGGAGACGCUCAUAUUGUACCGAUGCAGUUUGAUGGAAUCAGGCUGUUUGGCUUUGGUCUCAGCUCUCAAGUCCAACCUUUUGCAUUUAAAAAAACUGGACCUUGGGUUUAAUAAGAUGACCAGGUCAGCGGUGGAGCAUCUGUGCAGUUUUCUACAGAAUCCAGAUUGUAGACUUGAGACACUAGAACUGAAUAACUGCAGUUUACCAGAGUCCAGCUGUAGCCUCUUGGCCUCGGCUCUGAAGUCCAACCCCUCGUACCUGACAGAGUUUAUCCUGUGGGGGAACAACCUGAAGGAGGCAGACGUCCAGGAGCUCCUGGAUCUGAAGCAGAGCCCAUAAAAUAAUCAGAAUAUGUCAAAGUUUUUCAACAUCUAACAGUGCCCACAUGGGGAACUGAGGGGCCAAAGAAGGGGCCAAAAAGCUUAAAUCUGGUCUGGGACCAUAUUUGGGGCUCUACACCAUCCACAUGAAAGCUCAGAAAAGUGUGAGAUUGUUGUCAGAAAUGGUCAUUCUCUCAAACAUUCAGGUUCAGGUUAGUUUGUAAACAUUAGCUUGGAGUAAAUAGAUCUUGGAUCUCAAAAACUGAAAAAAAAAAAAGAAUCCUGCAUCCAAAUUUGAGAUUUUGGGGGCCAGUAGUACUCCCCCUUAAUAAAGACACCCAGAUUAGAAUCUAUGACCCAGAAUCUACUGUAAUACAAAUGUUCUGCUUCCUAGCUCUAUUUUUUAGGAAGUUAUGGUCUCUCAAAAAUGCUUAUAAAUUCAGGUAUCCGAAAAAUUGGGCAUAGCCCCAAAAUUCUAAAGGGCCAUAACUCAGAAACAACUCAAGGGAUUGAGCUAAAAUGUUUGAUUCUUUCAUGAGAUGGCUCACAGGGGAGAUUCCACCGUCCAGUAGUUCUUCUCUGGCCUUGUCUCUGAAGUCCAACCCCUCCCACCUCAGAGAACUCGCCCUGGGCGGUAAUGUGCUGAAUGACUCCAGUGUGGCUCACCUGUGUGCUGUCCUGCAGAGCCCACACUGUCAGCUGGAGACGCUCAUAUUGUACCGAUGCAGUUUGAUGGAAUCAGGCUGUUUGGCUUUGGUCUCAGCUCUCAAGUCCAACCUUUUGCAUUUAAAAAAACUGGACCUUGGGUUUAAUAAGAUGACCAGGUCAGCGGUGGAGCAUCUGUGCAGUUUUCUACAGAAUCCAGAUUGUAGACUUGAGACACUAGAAGGCAGGAGCUCUAGUGCUUGGAGCUCCACCAUUUCCUCUUCAUCUUGGUGAUCCAUUUCAUAGAAGAUCCCCCCUCCUUCACCUUUGCCACUUUGACACUGUGCAUGUCGGCCAGUCUCCACCAGUGUUUCAAAACAGCAGGACCAAAGUGGUACACAAAGGCACCAGCAUCAUCGUCCACUCUGUCCUCAGUUUUAGCAUCUCUUUUCAGAGUGGGCUUCACUUUAACCGGAGUAGAGUUUAUGACAACAACAGUGGGCUCUAAAGGGGGCUGGGGCUCUGAUGGAGCUGGUUGGUCCAUCAUUGCAGGACUUUUUACCUGGAGGUCUAAGAGGUCCUCCUCUUUCUGCUCCUGAAGAGGGUCAGACAGCUGAUGAGCUUUGGAAAGUAACUCUUCCAGAGCACUGACUUUCCUCAGCAGGUCCUCCUGUCUCUCCAUUAAGGCCUUCCUCUCCUCACACCAGGCCUUUUGUUUGACGCUCCACUGUUCCUCUCUAUCUCUGUAGAGCAGCUCUCUUUUGAGCGCUUCCUCUCUUCUCCUCUCCUCUCUUUCUAGGAAGGCCUUUUUCUCAGCCGACCACUGUUUGUCUUGCUCUCUCCAGUGGUUGAUUUCGACCUCAAAGGCCUCUGUGAGAGCAAAGAUUA